rnacentral:rRNA from 1 species
GGAUAGGUGGGAGGCUUUGAAGUGUGGACGCCAGUCUGCAUGGAGCCGACCUUGAAAUACCACCCUUUAAUGUUUGAUGUUCUAACGUUGACCCGUGAUCCGGGUUGCGGACAGUGUCUGGUGGGUAGUUUGACUGGGGCGGUCUCCUCCUAAAGAGUAACGGAGGAGCACGAAGGUUGGCUAAUCCUGGUCGGACAUCAGGAGGUUAGUGCAAUGGCAUAAGCCAGCUUGACUGCGAGCGUGACGGCGCGAGCAGGUGCGAAAGCAGGUCAUAGUGAUCCGGUGGUUCUGAAUGGAAGGGCCAUCGCUCAACGGAUAAAAGGUACUCCGGGGAUAACAGGCUGAUACCGCCCAAGAGUUCAUAUCGACGGCGGUGUUUGGCACCUCGAUGUCGGCUCAUCACAUCCUGGGGCUGAAGUAGGUCCCAAGGGUAUGGCUGUUCGCCAUUUAAAGUGGUACGCGAGCUGGGUUUAGAACGUCGUGAGACAGUUCGGUCCCUAUCUGCCGUGGGCGCUGGAGAACUGAGGGGGGCUGCUCCUAGUACGAGAGGACCGGAGUGGACGCAUCACUGGUGUUCGGGUUGUCAUGCCAAUGGCACUGCCCGGUAGCUAAAUGCGGAAGAGAUAAGUGCUGAAAGCAUCUAAGCACGAAACUUGCCCCGAGAUGAGUUCUCCCUGACUCCUUGAGAGUCCUGAAGGAACGUUGAAGACGACGACGUUGAUAGGCCGGGUGUGUAAGCGCAGCGAUGCGUUGAGCUAACCGGUACUAAUGAACCGUGAGG